rnacentral:lncRNA from 1 species
GAAGUUGUACCCGUCAGCACCUGCUGAGGGCUUUGUUGUCCAAACCCUGACAGGUAAAAAAAUUCCUGUAGAAUAAAGCCAGACCAGCUGGCUUUGAAGAGAAACCCCCCAGUUUGGGCUGCGUUUGCCUCCUCUCCUUUUCUAUGAAGACCGAGGCUUUGCCCCCUUGAUCGUCAAGCCGUGAGAUGCGUGAUCUCUCUGCACAAGUGUCUGGCAGGCCGAGGGCACCAUUUUCAGAUAAAAACAUAGACCUGAAUGGCAUCAUCCAGUAUCCAAGGAAACCAUGCUUGCUUGAAGAGUGAGCAGGUGAGCAAAGAGACAAGAUUACAUGUUUAAACCAAGAAAAGAAUCUUGAAA